CACUUUUCUAGGUUCUCUUUUAUCCGAAACAUUGAACACCCUAGACGUUUCUCUCAGAAAACUACAAACUGCAGAAUGAUCUUCCCACCAACCAAGAUCUGGCCUAAUUCGAAUGGAGAAUAAGGGAUUCUUCCCAAUUUCAAAACUAAUUUAUCUUUUUGUCCUUCACUUCACCAGAAAUUUCUUGACAUCAUUCGAUCUGAGAAGAGCAUAGACAAACCCUAGUCAUCUACUAAAUCCCCGUAAACCAAAUCAAUAACCCUCCAUCACCGCAUCUCUCAAUCUCUCUGAUCAAACAACAAAAAUAACGCCGAAGAAGUAGCAGAAGAAGAAGUAGAUGAAGACGUAGAAAUCAUGAAGGGUUUUCAGCAACAAAAGAUGAUGACUACAAGUAUGGAGAUGGAGAUCUUGUGAAAUAGUGAGAUGAAGUUUUGGUGACAAUUUUCUAAUAAGUCAUGGCAUAACCUGUAACCUGUUUUGCAACACCUUAGUGAUUCGACUCACAGUAACGAAUUGUGAGCUUUUCUGGCAAGGUAAUGCGAUGGUGAUGGAGCUGAAAAGAAGUUUAAAUUUGUCAUUACUUAUAUAUAUUUCUUAUUUUUAUUUUCUUUUGUCUAAUCACUUGCCAGUGCGUUGAUGGAAACUAAUUUAUAAAUGACCUACAGAAGAGGUUCACUAUAACUCCUACUAAAGAAAUGAACCGUGGAGGCAUUUUCAAGAAUCUUCCAAGGCUUUUGGAGUUCUUCAAAGACCCAUCUUUUGCUGUCUUUAUGCCCUUCACAUCCUCCAGUUCUUGGAUGACUUGUACUUGGUGAAGGAAAUGGAUCGAUAAUGUUUAUAUAAUGACUGUGAUUGGAGUACUUGGAAAUCUCCAAAUUGGAUGAAGAAAUGCCCAGUGGCGGUGUCUUUUGGUUUUGGAGGAGAAAUUGUUUCAUGUAAACAUAGUCAGUUAGCUACCGAUCCACCUACAGGAAGUUCCGAGGUUUACAUGCAUACUGAUUUCAGUUUGGUGAGCCAAUCCACUGAAUACGAAGCUACCAUUCAAGGAUACUGGAUUACUCGACCUUCCCUUACGUACUGCUUUUCGAGGAACUAAAGGGAGCUGUUGCAAGUGCUUGUGGUGAUUUUACUACGCCACCAGCAAUACUGAAUGUAACUGUCUCGUUAAUGAAAUAAUGGAUCCGAUUUGGGUGUUAUGUGAUGUAUACGUGAUACUUUGGAGAUGUUUCACUAGGUCUUAUGCUUAGGUGGCCAAAACUUCUGUAUGAAUGCAGAAGAAAAUGCAGAUUAAGUGGCAGUUUCAGUAGAUUGAAUGUUUCAGUUCAGUUUUUUUCAGUGUGUUGAGUUGUAAAUGCCGGAUGAGUUUAUUCUUUUUUUUUUUUGGUUGUAAUGUGAACUGAAUUCUUAUUUUAAAUGUAAUAUAUUUCA